GACGAACGCUGGCGGCGUGCUUAACACAUGCAAGUCGAACGCUGAAGCCCUUUCGGGGGUGGAUGAGUGGCGAACGGGUGAGUAACACGUGAGUAAUCUGCCCUGUACUUCGGGAUAAGCCUUGGAAACGGGGUCUAAUACCGGAUAGGACCUGUCCUCGCAUGGGGGUGGGUGGAAAGUUCCGGCGGUAUGGGAUGCGCCCGCGGCCGAUCAGCUUGUUGGUGGGGUAGUGGCCUACCAAGGCGACGACGGGUAGCCGGCCCGAGAGGGUGACCGGUCACACUGGGGCUGAGACACGGCCCAGACUCCUACGGGAGGCAACAGUGGGGAAUCUUGCGCAAUGGGCGAAAGCCUGACGCAGCAACGCCGCGUGGGGGAUGACGGCCUUCGGGUUGUAAACCUCUUUCGACAUCGACGAAGGGGCCCUGUUGUGGGGUUUUGACGGUAGGUGUAGAAGGAGCACCGGCUAACUACGUGCCAGCCGCCGCCGUAA
rnacentral:rRNA from 1 species